rnacentral:rRNA from 1 species
GAUGAACGCUGGCGGCGUGCCUAAUACAUGCAAGUAGAACGCUGAAGGAGGAGCUUGCUCUUCUGGAUGAGUUGCGAACGGGUGAGUAACGCGUAGGUAACCUGCCUGGUAGCGGGGGAUAACUAUUGGAAACGAUAGCUAAUACCGCAUGACAACAGUUAUUGCAUGAUAACUGUUUAAAAGGGGCAACUGCUCCACUACCAGAUGGACCUGCGUUGUAUUAGCUAGUUGGUGAGGUAACGGCUCACCAAGGCGACGAUACAUAGCCGACCUGAGAGGGUGAUCGGCCACACUGGGACUGAGACACGGCCCAGACUCCUACGGGAGGCAGCAGUAGGGAAUCUUCGGCAAUGGACGGAAGUCUGACCGAGCAACGCCGCGUGAGUGAAGAAGGUUUUUGGAUCGUAAAGCUCUGUUGUAAGAGAAGAACGAGUGUGAGAGUGGAAAGUUCACACUGUGACGGUAUCUUACCAGAAAGGGACGGCUAACUACGU